rnacentral:rRNA from 1 species
UACAGGGGGGGCAAGCGUUGUUCGGAAUUACUGGGCGUAAAGGGCCAGUAGGCGGCCAACUAAGUCACACGUGAAAUCCCCAGGCUUAACCUGGGAACUGCGUGUGAUACUGGAUGGCUUGAAUUCGGGAGAGGGAUGCAGAAUUCCUGGUGUAGCGGUGGAAUGCGCAGAUAUCAGGAGGAACACCGAUGGCGAAGGCAGGUCACUGGGCCGCAACUGACGCUGAGGAGCGAAAGCAUGGGGAGCGAACAGG